CAGGAAUGAAGGAAUGACUGCUGGAUUUUUUUCUUAAGAUUAAAAUGACUUCGAUGAAUAGGUAUUUAUGGGAAAACACUAGAAUCUUGACACAUACCUUAAUGCUGAAAACAUAUUUUAUUGGCUUCAUAAAUAAAGGGGAGGAACUUUAACAGAAGCCUUGAAAUUAAUCGCGGCUGAACACGAUGAUUUCUUGGCUGGCAUCUUUUGCAGGGAAUGGGUUGUGAACCCCUGCAUGGCUGGAGCCCUGGCAGAGAGCAGACCGGGCGUCAGAGCAGUGGCAUCACAGGAGCCUGCAUCUUGGAGACACGUGAGGGCUCAGAGCUUGGGGACGAGACAGUUAAUGCCUCCCCGUGCGAGCGAGUUAUAUCACACAGCGCCAGUGCGAGGUCAGCAGUCUGGCUGGAGCCCGGACGGGGCUGAGUGUGCCAAGCGAUGCCAGGCACCCAGGCAGCCCUGGAGAGGGUUUCCACAUCUAGGUUUCGUUCCGCAGCUUGGAAGAAGCUCUGACAAUCGCCUGGAGAAGGGAAACGAGAAGCUGCAUCCAUGAUUCCCAGACCAGCCACUUUGGAGCACGGACUUCUCCCAGCUGGAGCCCAUUGCUGCUGGGACAAAGGGAGCCCGGGCUGAGACCCAGCUCAGAUGACAGAGGGCUGUGGAUGCCCCUGGCACUUAGUGGAUGAGUGUGGCAGGGUGCUGGAUGCUCCACGUGCACGGAAGGAGUCUCAGCUUGGGACCGCACUUUACACCUCGCCCCUGCCUGGCAGGCGGCAAUUAGGUUGUGUUGGAAGACUGAAGAAGCUCUGUCCUCUCAGAAGCCUCUCCCAGGGGGAACUGCGUCUACUUGGGGAGAGAGAAGACGGCAGGCUGUUGGUCUCCUUUCAUAGAGCGAACUAUCAUGAGUUUGAGCAAACUCUGGAAGACGGUGAAGAGCAGGGAAGCCUGGCAUGCUGCAGGUCAUGAAGUCACAGUCAGACAUGACUGAAUAACAGCACCAUGCUGGGAAAUGGAGGAAGUUAAGUGUGUGCCGGUGUAGGUGUGCACACACGGCUGCAGGGUUGAUUCAUCAGGGCGCUGGCAACACGCUCUUAUCUUGUGCACAAGCUGAAGAAAUAGUGUUAAAGGAAGAGUCAUUUGGAUUUGUGUCUGAUGAUAAAACCUUUCUCUCGAUAUUUUGAUGAAUGAAUUUCUGUCCACCAGAUGAUAAGGAGAUCUAGACCUGUGGCAAGGAUCCUACCUAGUCCUUGUUUGUCCAAUUCAAAACUUGUAUUAGUAUAAAGUUGACUGUGUGUAUUUUAGAUAUUUUUCUAUUAAAUAUGGAAAAAAUAAACAUAUAUUUUCUGAUGUCUUGAAAGCUUGUCAUUGUCAUAUGAUAAAUCUUAUACACCCUCAGAGUUGGUGUUUCUUGCUUUCC
rnacentral:lncRNA from 1 species